rnacentral:rRNA from 1 species
UACGUAGGGGGCAAGCGUUGUCCGGAAUCAUUGGGCGUAAAGAGCGUGUAGGCGGCCCGAUAAGUCCGCUGUGAAAGUCCAGGGCUCAACCCUGGGAUGCCGGUGGAUACUGUCGGGCUCGAGUCCGGAAGAGGCGAGUGGAAUUCCUGGUGUAGCGGUGAAAUGCGCAGAUAUCAGGAGGAACACCGAUGGCGAAGGCAGCUCGCUGGGACGGUACUGACGCUGAGGCGCGAAAGCGUGGGGAGCGAACAGG